GGCAGCGGGGCUAUGGCGGGCCGCGGGGCGGGCUCCUCGGAGCACCUGGAGCGGCUUCAUGAGAUCUUCCGCGGGCUGCACGGAGACCUGAGGGGUGUCCCCGAGCGGCUGCGGGGCAGCGCGGCCGAGGAGAAGAAAAAACUGGUUCGAGAAUUUGACGAUAAACAGCGCGAAGCCAAUGAGACGCUGCGUGAAAUGGAGGAAGAACUGAAGUAUGCUCCCCUGCCUUUCCGCAACCAAAUGAUGAGCAAAAUCCGAGCAUACAGAAGAGACCUGUCCAUGUUCCAGAGAGAGAUGAGAAGCACAGAUUUGGGAGUGGGCCACGGAAGUCAAGGCGAUAUAAAAUAUGGAAUCUUCUCCACAGAAAAUGAACAAAGUACUAAUCUGCAGUCACAGAGGGUGCUGCUUCUCCAGGGAACAGACAGUCUGAACCGAGCCAGUCAGAGCAUUGAGCGCUCGCACCGGAUUGCUGCUGAAACAGAUCAGAUUGGCACCGAUAUAAUCGAAGAACUUGGGGAGCAGCGGGAGCAGCUGGAACGUACCAAGAGCAGAUUGGUGAAUACAAGUGAGAACUUGAGCAAGAGUCGCAAGAUUCUACGUUCGAUGUCCCGGAGAGUAACCACUAAUAAGUUGUUGCUGUCAAUUAUCAUCAUCCUGGAACUGGCCAUCCUAGGAGGUGUGGUCUACUACAGAUUCUUCCGCAGCAGAUGAAUCUUCAUGAUGGAGAUGAACUUUUCCACUGUUGAGGAACAGGAUGGGCUGUCUGUUCCCUUUGAUUGUCUGAGGAUUGAACUGAGUGGUGAGACAGCACAUUCACCUGAAACUGUACUGACACUAAAAAGACAGAGAAUGGGAGUAAAAGGAAAAUGCAGAGACAGACUUGAACUACCGAAAGCCAGGGUGAAAGGCUGAACCACUGAUGUGCAUGGCAUCUAGGAUGGAGGAAGCACCAAGCUUGAGGAUUUCACUAACAGCUCAGCAAGAUGAGCAUUUUUCAGGUCCAUAGUUGAAGACUGCCUCCAAACCAUACCAUGUAGCCUAGUUGAUGAAGAAAUAAAGGAUAAUUUUUAACCUAAAAUGUUAGUUACUUACUAUAUCAAGUCUGCCAACUGAUGACAGCUUAAUAAAUUGGACACUGUUUGUCAUGAGUUAUUUAAGUGAUAGCCUGUACUUCCAACUUACUGCAGAUGCUCAGUAGGGAGAAGCAUCUGGAUUAGCAUCUUUUUUACUUGGCACAGCUGCAGCUAGGAAAGGUGAGCACACCUUUAGAAAACAACAGCAUGCAGCACAGGUCCUAACCUGUGGUGAGAGGUUACCCUAACUCUGACCCUCUCCCUGUUCCUAGACUAUUAUGAUAUGCUCCCUGACUGGGUUCCCCAAACUUGAACAAGGUUAGCAAAGACAGCAGUAGUGAACUGCAGUAAGGGAGUGGUUACAGUGAACUUUACCAGCCACCACCAGGACAGCAUGGGUGAGCACAGUCAAAGGAGGACACCUUUAAAUGCUUCCACCUCACGCGCUAACAGCUGAAUUUGAGUUACUGUCAAGUUGCUAUAUUAUUUUUUAAAGUGUAAUGGGUAUCCUGGACUCUGAGUUGAUUCAAACAUCAAACUGUAGAAAAACUCAGAAUUCCUUAAAAAACAGAACCAAAACGUAUAAAACAGAGCCCCAACUGUACUCACUAAUGUAACCUGUCUCACAGCUUUUUGCCAAACACUGCAAAAUGGUUGCAGUCCAAGAUGUGGAAGUCGAGGACUAAAGACUUUGCAAUUUACUGGACAUUGUCACAGUUCUGUACAGCUGCCUGACAUCAAGUGACUUUCACUUAAAUAACUUUCAGGAAAGUAGAUAUUCAACAAGAGUAGUUUAAAUCAGAUAAUAGUUUGUUACCUGCCCAUCAGUUGUUCAAAUGUUCUUUCCAUAACUUUCCGAAUUCCAAGGCGAUCAAUAUCCCUCAUGGAAAAAUACUGGAUGUCAUACUUCUUCAAAAUAUAGCUGUUAAAAUAAUUUUUUAAAAACAAUUGUUACCAGUCUAAGCUUAAAUCUAGCAAUGCUUGUGAACAUGAUUUCAAGCUCAUGACUUCAGCCUUUACAAAAAACUCUUUAAUCUAAACCAACUUACUAUUCAGCAGGAUCCACAUCCCUCAAACCAAUGUACACAAUAUCAGAUGCUGAAAGACAGGGCUUUAUCCAGGAAAAGCCAGGAAGUUGUGGUACCUGAAAGCAAUGGUUUGGUAUUACGUUAGUUUAAUGACAUAUACAACAAAACUGUAUUUAAUGCUUCCCUCAGAACUUGGUAUUUAUUUAUAACAUCCUUUCUCUGUCUAAACAGAGAAACUUGAGAGUGGCAUCCUGAUGUAAUCAGUCCUUACUUUCAACUCAGGUAAAGUGGUACAACUUUACCUGAGUUGCAUGUUAAUGGAUGAAGUUUUUAACUCUUCUACAUUCUCCAGUUUGAAGAGGAGGAGAAAUAAAAAGCUCAAAUCCACAAGCAGUAAGUAAUUAUCAUCAGUGAGUGUAAGGGGGAAUGAUAAGAAACUAGAUACCCAGAUGCAGAUCACUUACCCAGUGCAUUUAAUGGCAGUGAUGUGUAACUUACCCAGUAUAUCAGGCUUAAAUGGAAAAAUGAAAACCAAGGCACCUGUAUGUUUUUAGGAGAACCACCAAAGUCAUGGAAACUUUGUUCCAAAACCACUAUUAAGAAUGGACAAAUUCAAAGUAAGAAGUUAAAAACAAAAAAGAUUAAAAAAAAGAGCAGGACAAGAUGUUGGGCCUCCACAGUGGGCUACAUCAUACUGGUUUUAAUACAGAACUGAAGAGAGCAGAUCUAGGACAGCAACUGAAAGAUUACGAGAUCACAAUUUUUCAGCUUUGGUAAUUAAGUAGUCAUGUUAUGCAAUAUAGAAAUCGUUCAGUUAGUAAUAUCUACUAAGUUUAGGAGUGCUUUAAAUUAACUCAUGUUUCUCUUCUUCUCCCAGCUCUGAAAAUGGCUACAGCCAACACAGCUGUCACACAGCAAGGCGGUUUUGUUUCCCUCUUAUACUUCUCAAUUACUAAUUUUAUUCUAGUUACAAUAUUGGAUUUGUUUUUGAAGGCUAACCCACACAUAGCUAUAUUUAGUUACAUUGGGAUUAAACUGGCACAGAUUAUGUGAAAGUAUUUGUUACUCUGGGGCAAUGAAUUCAGAAGAGGGAUAAAUGGAGACCGCUACGAAAAAUAAUACAGGUUUCCAAAAUGAACAACCACAAAACCCAUCACCAUACCAUAAACUGAGCAUAGUAUUGAUAAUAUUGUCAGAUACUCUCUAGUGUCAAUGAUUCAGCAGAUUUAAUACUGCCAAUUUUAAGUACACCUCUUUGACUGUACAUAAAUAAAACUGCCUUAACUGCC